rnacentral:rRNA from 1 species
ACGGCUCAGUAACACGUGGAUAACCUGCCCUUGGGUCCGGGCAUAACCCCGGGAAACUGGGGAUAAUACCGGAUAACGCACAUAUGCUGGAAUGCUUUAUGCGUAAAAUGGAUUCGUCUGCCCAAGGAUGGGUCUGCGGCCUAUCAGGUAGUAGUGGGUGUAAUGUACCUACUAGCCAACAACGGGUACGGGUUGUGAGAGCAAGAGCCCGGAGAUGGAUUCUGAGACAUGAAUCCAGGCCCUACGGGGCGCAGCAGGCGCGAAAACUUUACAAUGCGGGAAACCGUGAUAAGGGGACACCGAGUGCCAGCAUCAUAUGCUGGCUGUCCGGGUGUGUAAAAUACACCUGUCAGCAAGGGCCGGGCAAGACCGGUGCCAGCCGCCGCGGUAACACCGGCGGCCCGAGUGGUGAUCGUGAUUAUUGGGUCUAAAGGGUCCGUAGCCGGUUUGGUCAGUCCUCCGGGAAAUCUGACGGCUUAACCGUUAGGCUUUCGGGGGAUACUGCCAGGCUUGGAACCGGGAGAGGUAAGAGGUACUACAGGGGUAGGAGUGAAAUCUUGUAAUCCCUGUGGGACCACCUGUGGCGAAGGCGUCUUACCAGAACGGGUUCGACGGUGAGGGACGAAAGCUGGGGGCACGAACCGGAUUAGAUACCCGGGUAGUCCCAGCCGUAAACGAUGCUCGCUAGGUGUCAGGCAUGGCGCGACCGUGUCUGGUGCCGCAGGGAAGCCGUGAAGCGAGCCACCUGGGAAGUACGGCCGCAAGGCUGAAACUUAAAGGAAUUGGCGGGGGAG